rnacentral:rRNA from 1 species
AGAGUUUGAUCCUGGCUCAGGAUGAACGCUGGCGGCGUGCCUAACACAUGCAAGUCGAGCGAGAAACUUAUGACGGAAGCUUCGGUUGAAGUCAUGGGUGGAAAGCGGCGGACGGGUGAGUAACGCGUAGGCAACCUGCCCUUUGCAGAGGGAUAGCCUCGGGAAACCGGGAUUAAAACCUCAUGAUGCCGUGUGAAGACAUCUUCAUAUGGUCAAAGAUUUAUCGGCAAAGGAUGGGCCUGCGUCUGAUUAGCUGGUUGGUGGGGUAACGGCUCACCAAGGCGACGAUCAGUAGCCGACCUGAGAGGGUGAUCGGCCACAUUGGAACUGAGACACGGUCCAAACUCCUACGGGAGGCAGCAGUGGGGAAUAUUGCACAAUGGGGGAAACCCUGAUGCAGCAACGCCGCGUGAAGGAAGAAGGCCUUUGGGUCGUAAACUUCUGUUCUGAGGGAAGAAAGUGGCGGUACCUCAGGAGCAAGUCCCGGCUAACUACGUGCCAGCAGCCGCGGUAAUACGUAGGGGGCAAGCGUUAUCCGGAAUUAUUGGGCGUAAAGAGUACGUAGGUGGUUACCUAAGCACGGGGUAUAAGGCAAUGGCUCAACCAUUGUUUGCCUUGUGAACUGGGCUACUUGAGUGCAGGAGAGGAAAGCGGAAUUCCUAGUGUAGCGGUGAAAUGCGUAGAUAUUAGGAGGAACACCAGUGGCGAAGGCGGCUUUCUGGACUGUAACUGACACUGAGGUACGAAAGCGUGGGGAGCAAACAGGAUUAGAUACCCUGGUAGUCCACGCCGUAAACGAUGA